GUGUAUGUAAUUUAAAAAAAAUAUCAAACUGUGAAUUUGACAUUGGAAAUAACCCCAUACAU
rnacentral:tRNA from 2 species